GAUGAUCAUCCAGACUGGGACUGAGACACGCCCAGACUCUACGGGAGGCAGCAGUAGGGAAUCUUCACAAUGGCGAAAGCUGAUGGAGCAACGCCGCGUGCAGGAUGAAGGCUUCGGGUUGUAAACUGCUUUUAUAAGCGAGAAAUAUGAUGGUAACUUAUGAAUAAGGAUCGGCUAACUACGUGCCAGCAGCCGCGGUCAUACGUAGGAUCCGAGCAUUAUCCGGAGUGACUGGGUGUAAAGAGUUGCGUAGGUGGCAUGGAAAGUCGAUAGUGAAAUCUGGUGGCUCAACCAUUCAGACUAUUAUCGAAACUUCCAAGCUCGAGACCGUUAGGGGUAACUGGAAUUUCUAGUGUAGGAGUGAAAUCCGUAGAUAUUAGAGGGAACACCGAUAGCGUAGGCAGGUUACUGGGGCGGUUCUGACACUAAGGCACGAAAGCGUAGGGAGCAAACGGGAUUAGAUACCCCGGUAGUCUACGCCGUAAACGAUGGAUACUAGCAGUUUUGGGUAUCGACCCCCAGAGUUGCGAAGCUAACGCGUUAAGUAUCCCACCUGUGUAGUACGAUCGCAAGAUUAAAACAUAAAGGAAUUGACGGGGACCCGCACAAGCGGUGGAGCGUGAUCUUUAAUUCGUCGGUAAACGAUAAACCUUACCAAGGCUUGACAUCCGAGGAAGGCUCUCGAAAGAGAACUGUGCCUUCGGGAACCUCGAGACAGGUGAUGCAUGGCCGUCGUCAGCUCGUGUCGUGAGAUGUUUGGUUAAGUCCAUCAACGAGCGCAACCCUUGCUACUAGUUGUAUUUUUCUAGUGGGACUGCCCCGGUAACGGGGAGGAAGGAGGGGAUGAUGUCAGGUCAGUAUUUCCCUUACGCCUUGGGCUAGAAUCGCGCUACAAUGGCCGGUACAAUGCGGAGCGAAGCAGCGAUGUGAAGCAAAUCGCACCAAAGCCGGUCCCAGUUCGGAUAAGAGGCUGAAACUCGCCUCUUUGAAGUCGGAAUCGCUAGUAAUCGCAGAUCAGCAUGUUGCGGUGAAUACGUUCCCGGGUCUUGUACACACCGCCCGUCAAACCAUGAGAGUCACCAACACCCGAAGUCCGCUUGGCGGCCUAAG
rnacentral:rRNA from 1 species